ensembl:snoRNA
AUACUUUAGUAACUCCUAAGCGUGAUGCUUGGGUGUUCACGUGCAUGUGUGAGAUGUGCCUCCCUUAAACCUUGGCACAACAUCGGCACGUUACCCAUCUGACA